rnacentral:rRNA from 1 species
UACGUAGGGGGCGAGCGUUGUCCGGAAUUACUGGGCGUAAAGGGCGUGUAGGCGGUCGGCCAAGUCCGGUGUGAAAAUCCGGGGCUCAACCCCGGGCGUGCAUUGGAAACUGGUUGGCUUGAGUGCAGGAGAGGAAAGUGGAAUUCCCAGUGUAGCGGUGAAAUGCGUAGAUAUUGGGAGGAACACCAGUGGCGAAGGCGACUUUCUGGCCUGUAACUGACGCUGAGGCGCGAAAGCUAGGGGAGCAAACAGGAUUAGAUACCCCGGUAGUCC